CCUACGGGAGGCAGCAGUGGGGAAUAUUGCACAAUGGGCGCAAGCCUGAUGCAGCCAUACCGCGUGUGUGAAGAAGGCCUUCGGGUUGUAAAGCACUUUCAGCGGGGAGGAAGGCGUUAAGGUUAAUAACCUUGGCGAUUGACGUUACCCGCAGAAGAAGCACCGGCUAACUCCGUGCCAGCAGCCGCGGUAAUACGGAGGGUGCAAGCGUUAAUCGGAAUUACUGGGCGUAAAGCGCACGCAGGCGGUCUGUCAAGUCGGAUGUGAAAUCCCCGGGCCCAACCUGGGAACUGCAUUCGAAACUGGCAGGCUAGAGUCUUGUAGAGGGGGGUAGAAUUCCAGGUGUAGCGGUGAAAUGCGUAGAGAUCUGGAGGAAUACCGGUGGCGAAGGCGGCCCCCUGGACAAAGACUGACGCUCAGGUGCGAAAGCGUGGGGAGCAAACAGGAUUAGAUACCCGGGUAGUC
rnacentral:rRNA from 1 species